ACACAUGCAAGUCGAGGGGCAGCACAGGUAGCUUUACCGGGUGGCGACCGGCGCACGGGUGAGUAACGCGUAUGCAACUUGCCUAUCAGAGGGGGAUAACCCGGCGAAAGUCGGACUAAUACCGCAUGAAGCAGGGAUCCCGCAUGGGAAUAUUUGCUAAAGAUUCAUCGCUGAUAGAUAGGCAUGCGUUCCAUUAGGCAGUUGGCGGGGUAACGGCCCACCAAACCGACGAUGGAUAGGGGUUCUGAGAGGAAGGUCCCCCACAUUGGUACUGAGACACGGACCAAACUCCUACGGGAGGCAGCAGUGAGGAAUAUUGGUCAAUGGCCGAGAGGCUGAACCAGCCAAGUCGCGUGAGGGAUGAAGGUUCUAUGGAUCGUAAACCUCUUUUAUAAGGGAAUAAAGUGCGGGACGUGUCCCGUUUUGUAUGUACCUUAUGAGUAAGGAUCGGCUAACUCCGUGCCAGCAGCCGCGGUAAUACGGAGGAUCCGAGCGUUAUCCGGAUUUAUUGGGUUUAAAGGGUGCGUAGGCGGCCUUUUAAGUCAGCGGUGAAAGUCUGUGGCUCAACCAUACAAUUGCCGUUGAAACUGGGGGGCUUGAGUAUGUUUGAGGCAGGCGGAAUGCGUGGUGUAGCGGUGAAAUGCAUAGAUAUCACGCAUAACCCCGAUUGCGAAGGCAGCCUGCCAAGCCAUGACUGACGCUGAUGCACGAAAGCGUGGGGAUCAAACAGGAUUAGAUACCCUGGUAGUCCACGCAGUAAACGAUGAUCACUAGCUGUUUGCGAUACACUGUAAGCGGCACAGCGAAAGCGUUAAGUGAUCCACCUGGGGAGUACGCCGGCAACGGUGAAACUCAAAGGAAUUGACGGGGGCCCGCACAAGCGGAGGAACAUGUGGUUUAAUUCGAUGAUACGCGAGGAACCUUACCCGGGUUUGAACGCAUUCGGACCGAGGUGGAAACACCUUUUCUAGCAAUAGCCGUUUGCGAGGUGCUGCAUGGUUGUCGUCAGCUCGUGCCGUGAGGUGUCGGCUUAAGUGCCAUAACGAGCGCAACCCUUGCCACUAGUUACUAACAGGUAAAGCUGAGGACUCUGGUGGGACUGCCAGCGUAAGCUGCGAGGAAGGCGGGGAUGACGUCAAAUCAGGACGGCCCUUACAUCCGGGGCGACACACGUGUUACAAUGGCGUGGACAAAGGGAAGCCACCUGGCGACAGGGAGCGAAUCCCCAAACCACGUCUCAGUUCGGAUCGGAGUCUGCAACCCGACUCCGUGAAGCUGGAUUCGCUAGUAAUCGCGCAUCAGCCAUGGCGCGGUGAAUACGUUCCCGGGCCUUGUACACACCGCCCGUCAAGCCAUGGGAGCCGGGGGUACCUGAAGUCCGUAACCGCGAGGAUCGGCCUAGGGUAAAACUGGUGACUGGGGCUAAGUCGUA
rnacentral:rRNA from 1 species